CCUACGGGUGGCUGCAGUAGGGAAUAUUGCUCAAUGGGGGAAACCCUGAAGCAGCAACGCCGCGUGGAGGAUGAAGGUUUUCGGAUUGUAAACUCCUUUUGUUAUAGAAGAUAAUGACGGUAUCUAACGAAUAAGCACCGGCUAACUCCGUGCCAGCAGCCGCGGUAAUACGGAGGGAGCAAGCGUUACUCGGAAUCACUGGGCGUAAAGGGCGCGUAGGCGGGAUAGCAAGUCAGAUGUGAAAUCCUAUGGCUUAACCAUAGAACUGCAUUUGAAACUGUUAUUCUAGAGUAUGGGAGAGGUAGGUGGAAUUCUUGGUGUAGGGGUGAAAUGCGUAGAGAUCAAGAGGAAUACUGAGUGCGAAGGCGACCUGCUAGAACAUAACUGACGCUGAUGCGCGAAAGCGUGGGGAGCAAACAGGAUUAGAUACCCCUGUAGUC
rnacentral:rRNA from 1 species